rnacentral:rRNA from 1 species
GACGAACGCUGGCGGCGUGCUUAACACAUGCAAGUCGAACGGAAAGGCCCUGCUUUUGUGGGGUGCUCGAGUGGCGAACGGGUGAGUAACACGUGAGUAACCUGCCCUUGACUUUGGGAUAACUUCAGGAAACUGGGGCUAAUACCGGAUAGGAGCUCCUGCUGCAUGGUGGGGGUUGGAAAGUUUCGGCGGUUGGGGAUGGACUCGCGGCUUAUCAGCUUGUUGGUGGGGUAGUGGCUUACCAAGUCUUUGACGGGUAGCCGGCCUGAGAGGGUGACCGGCGACAUUGGGACUGCGGGACGGCCCAGACUCCUACGGGAGGCAGCAGUGGGGAAUAUUGCACAAUGGGGGGAAGCGUGAGGCGGCAACGCCGCGUGCGGGAUGACGUCCUUCGGGUUGUAAACCGCUUUCGCCUGUGACGAGGCGUGAGUGACGGUAAUGGGUAAAGAAGCACCGGCUAACUACGUG